rnacentral:rRNA from 1 species
UACGGAGGGUGCAAACGUUGCUCGGAAUUAUUGGGCGUAAAGCGCACGUAGGCGGUUCGUUAUGUCGGAUGUGAAAGCCCUCGGCUUAACCGAGGAAGUGCAUCCGAAACUGGCGGGCUUGAGUACGGAAGAGGGUCUCGGAAUUCCCGGUGUAGAGGUGAAAUUCGUAGAUAUCGGGAGGAACACCAGUGGCGAAGGCGGAGACCUGGGCCGAUACUGACGCUGAGGUGCGAAAGCGUGGGGAGCAAACAGG